UACAGAGGGGACAAGCGUUGUUCGGAAUUACUGGGCGUAAAGGGCGCGUAGGCGGCCUUCUAAGUCGAACGUGAAAUCCCCGGGCUCAACCCGGGAACUGCGUCCGAUACUGGAAGGCUUGAAUCCGGGAGAGGGAUGUGGAAUUCCAGGUGUAGCGGUGAAAUGCGUAGAUAUCUGGAGGAACACCGGUGGCGAAGGCGACAUCCUGGACCGGUAUUGACGCUGAGGCGCGAAAGCCAGGGGAGCAAACGGG
rnacentral:rRNA from 1 species